rnacentral:rRNA from 1 species
UCGGGAAUAUUGCGCAAUGGAGGAAACUCUGACGCAGUGACGCCGCGUGCAGGAAGAAGGUUUUCGGAUUGUAAACUGCUUUAGACAGGGAAGAAACAAGACAGUACCUGUAGAAUAAGCUCCGGCUAACUACGUGCCAGCAGCCGCGGUAAUACGUAGGGAGCAAGCGUUAUCCGGAUUUAUUGGGUGUAAAGGGUGCGUAGACGGGAAUGCAAGUUGGUUGUGAAAUCCCUCGGCUCAACCGAGGAAUUGCAACCAAAAUCUAUAUUUCUUGAGUGCUGGAGAGGAAAGUGGAAUUCCUAGUGUAGCGGUGAAAUGCGUAGAUAUUAGGAGGAACACCAGUGGCGAAGGCGGCUUGCUGGGCUUUUGACUGACGCUGAGGCUCGAAAGUGUGGGGAGCAAACAGGAUUAGAUACC